rnacentral:rRNA from 1 species
UACGAAGGGAACUAGCGUUGUUCGGAAUCACUGGGCGUAAAGCGGGCGCAGGCGGACUAUCAAGUCAGAGGUGAAAUCCCAAGGCUCAACCUUGGAAUUGCCUUUGAAACUGAUAGUCUGGAGUGUGUGAGGGGAUAGCGGAAUUCCGAAUGUAGAGGUGAAAUUCGUAGAUAUUCGGAGGAACACCGGUGGCGAAGGCGGCUAUCUGGCACACAACUGACGCUGAGGUCCGAAAGCGUGGGGAUCAAACAGG